GGUCCGAUGCCACGUCGACGGUAGCCGCAGAGCAUUGACCGGCGAUGCUAUCUUUGGACCAAAAUCAAUUUUCUGUUUCGCAUAUUUGAUAGGAACCUGUGGAUCGAUUCUUAUGCCGUUCGUCCACGGAGCCGGUUUUUGCGAUUACAUUU